AAAAAAACUAGGUGUUGGACAAGGGAAAGGCCGUAAGGCUGGAACUGAAGGUGUGAAAGGAGCUUCCAAGAAAUAAUCUCUAGCCGCUGAAGGCGACCGUACCAAAACCGACACAGGUGGGUGGGAAGAAGAUUCUCAGGCGCGCGAGAUAACUCUCGUUAAGGAACUCGGCUAAUUAUCCUCGUAACUUCGGGAGAAGAGGAGCCGUGGAUGGUGAGUAUGAACAAUACAAGCUGUCUGCGGUCACAGAAAAAUGGCCCAGGCGACUGUUUAACAAAAACACAGCACUAUGCAAAGCCGUUUAAGGCGCAGUAUAUGGUGUGAUGCCUGCCCAAUGCCCAAAGGUCAAAGGGAGAGGUUAGUGGGAAACUGCGAAGCUUCGAACUUAAGCCCGGGUGAAUGGCGGCCGUAACACUAACGGUCCUAAGGUAGCGAAGUUCCUUGUCGGGUAAGUUCCGACCUGCACGAAUGGUUUAACGAUCUGGGCACUGUCUCGACGAGAGACUCGGUGAACUUGUAGUAGCGGUGUAGAUGCCGUUUACCCGCGACAAGACGGAAAGACCCCGUGAACCUUUACUGUACUCUGAUAUUGGCUUCUGACUUUUCAUGUGUAGGAUAGCCGGGAGACUGAGAAGGCGUGUCGUUAGGCAUGCUGGAGUCAACGUUGAAAUACCGGCCUUGAAGAGUCGGAAAUCUAACAAACAGCUUUGAAUCGAGCGAAUGGACAGUGUCAGACGGGCAGUUUUGCUGGGGCGGUAUCCUCCUAAAAAGUAACGGAGGAGUCCAAAGCUUACCUCAUCGUGGUUGGUAAUCACGAGGAGAGCGUAAAGGCAUAAGGUAGGUUGACUGUAAGACCCACAAGUCGAGCAGGUACGAAAGUAGGGCUUAGUGAUCCGGCGGUGGAAAGUGGAAUCGCCGUCGCUUAACGGAUAAAAGGUACUCCGGGGAUAACAGGCUUAUCGCCACCAAGAGUUCAUAUCGACGUGGCGGUUUGGCACCUCGAUGUCGACUCAUCGCAUCCUGGGGCUGAAGAAGGUCCCAAGGGUUUGGCUGUUCGCCAAUUAAAGCGGUACGCGAGUUGGGUUCAAAACGUCGUGAGACAGUUUGGUCCCUAUCUGUCGUGGGCGUAGGAUACUUGAGAGGAGCUACUUCUAGUACGAGAGGACCGAAGUGGACAAACCAAUGGUGUUCCAGUUGUACUGCCAAGUGCACAGCUGGGUAGCUAAGUUUGGAAAGGAUAAGCGUUGAAAGCAUCUAAACGCCAAGCCUCCCUCAAGAUAAGGUAUCCCAUGAGACGCCAUGAAGACUACGUGGUUGAUAGGUUGGAAGUGUAAGAGCAGUAAUGCUUGUAGCUUACCAAUACUAAUAAGUCGAAAGGCUUGACCAA
rnacentral:rRNA from 1 species